rnacentral:rRNA from 1 species
GAUGAACGCUGGCGGCGUGCCUAAUACAUGCAAGUCGAGCGGUAACAGGGGUAGCUUGCUACCCGCUGACGAGCGGCGGACGGCUGAGUAACACGUAGGAACGUACCCCAAACUGAGGGAUAACUGCUCGAAAGAGUAGCUAAUACCGCAUGUGCUCUUCGGAGUAAAGCUUCGGCGGUUUGGGAACGGCCUGCGUCCGAUUAGCUAGUUGGUGAGGUAAUGGCUCACCAAGGCGACGAUCGGUAGCUGGUCUGAGAGGAUGAUCAGCCAGACUGGGACUGAGACACGGCCCAGACUCCUACGGGAGGCAGCAGUAGGGAAUUUUCCACAAUGGGCGAAAGCCUGAUGGAGCAACGCCGCGUGCAGGAUGAAGGCCUUCGGGUUGUAAACUGCUUUUCUCUGUGACGAUUAUGACGGUAGCAGAGGAAUAAGGAUCGGCUAACUCC